rnacentral:piRNA from 1 species
UUCAAAUCACUUGCUAAGGAUCAUGG